AACGCUAGCUACAGGCUUAACACAUGCAAGUCGAGGGGCAGCAUAGAAGUAGCAAUACUUUGGUGGCGACCGGCGCACGGGUGAGUAACGCGUAUGCAACCUACCUAUCAGAGGGGAAUAACCCGGCGAAAGUCGGACUAAUACCGCAUAAAACAGGGGCACCGCAUGGUGAUAUUUGUUAAAGAAAUUCGCUGAUAGAUGGGCAUGCGUUCCAUUAGGUAGUUGGUGAGGUAACGGCUCACCAAGCCGACGAUGGAUAGGGGAACUGAGAGGUUGGUCCCCCACACUGGUACUGAGACACGGACCAGACUCCUACGGGAGGCAGCAGUGAGGAAUAUUGGUCAAUGGGCGAGAGCCUGAACCAGCCAAGUAGCGUGCAGGAAGACGGCCCUAUGGGUCGUAAACUGCUUUUAUAAGGGAAUAAAGUGAGUCUCGUGAGACUUUUUGCAUGUACCUUAUGAAUAAGGACCGGCUAAUUCCGUGCCAGCAGCCGCGGUAAUACGGAAGGUCCGGGCGUUAUCCGGAUUUAUUGGGUUUAAAGGGAGCGUAGGCCGGAGAUUAAGCGUGUUGUGAAAUGUAGAUGCUCAACAUCUGAACUGCAGCGCGAACUGGUUUCCUUGAGUACGCACAAAGUGGGCGGAAUUCGUGGUGUAGCGGUGAAAUGCUUAGAUAUCACGAAGAACUCCGAUUG
rnacentral:rRNA from 1 species